AUCGGAUUUACUGGGCGUAAAGCGUGCGUAGGCGGCUUUUUAAGUCGGAUGUGAAAUCCCCGAGCUUAACUUGGGAAUUGCAUUCGAUACUGGGAAGCUAGAGUAUGGGAGAGGAUGGUAGAAUUCCAGGUGUAGCGGUGAAAUGCGUAGAGAUCUGGAGGAAUACCGAUGGCGAAGGCAGCCAUCUGGCCUAAUACUGACGCUGAGGUACGAAAGCAUGGNGAGCAAACAGGAUUAGAUACCCUGGUAGUCCAUGCCGUAAACGAUGUCUACUAGCCGUUGGGGCCUUUGAGGCUUUAGUGGCGCAGCUAACGCGAUAAGUAGACCGCCUGGGGAGUACGGUCGCAAGACUAAAACUCAAAUGAAUUGACGGGGGCCCGCACAAGCGGUGGAGCAUGUGGUUUAAUUCGAUGCAACGCGAAGAACCUUACCUGGCCUUGACAUACUAGAAACUUUCCAGAGAUGGAUUGGUGCCUUCGGNAAUCUAGAUACAGGUGCUGCAUGGCUGUCGNCAGCUCGUGUCGUGAGAUGUUGGGUUAANUCCCNCAACGAGCGCAACCCUUUUCCUUACUUGCCAGCAUUUCGGAUGGGAACUUUAAGGAUACUGCCAGUGACAAACUGGAGGAAGGCGGGGACGACGUCNAGUCAUCAUGGCCCUUACGGCCAGGGCUACACACGUGCUACAAUGGUCGGUACAAAGGGUUGCUACACAGCGAUGUGAUGCUAAUCUCAAAAAGCCGAUCGUAGUCCGGAUUGGAGUCUGCAACUCGACUCCAUGAAGUCGGAAUCGCUAGUAAUCGCGGAUCAGAAUGCCGCGGAGAAUACGUUCCCGGGCCUUGUACACACCGC
rnacentral:rRNA from 1 species